AGAGUUUGAUCCUGGCUCAGGAUGAACGCUAGCGGCAGGCUUAACACAUGCAAGUCGAGGGGUAACAGUCCCCGCUUCGGGCGGGAGCUGACGACCGGCGCACGGGUGCGUAACGCGUAUACAAUCUACCUUUUGCUGAGGAAUAGCCCAGAGAAAUUUGGAUUAAUGCCUCAUAGUAUGUAGUGGUGGCAUCACUUUUACAUUAAAGGUUACGGCAAAAGAUGAGUAUGCGUUCUAUUAGCUAGAUGGUGUGGUAACGGCACACCAUGGCAACGAUAGAUAGGGGCCCUGAGAGGGGGAUCCCCCACACUGGUACUGAGACACGGACCAGACUCCUACGGGAGGCAGCAGUGAGGAAUAUUGGGCAAUGGAGGCAACUCUGACCCAGCCAUGCCGCGUGCAGGAAGACUGCCCUAUGGGUUGUAAACUGCUUUUAUACAGGAAGAAACACUCUCACGUGUGAGGGCUUGACGGUACUGUAAGAAUAAGGAUCGGCUAACUCCGUGCCAGCAGCCGCGGUAAUACGGAGGAUCCAAGCGUUAUCCGGAAUCAUUGGGUUUAAAGGGUCCGUAGGUGGGUAAUUAAGUCAGAGGUGAAAUCCUGCAGCUUAACUGUAGAAUUGCCUUUGAAACUGGUUAUCUUGAGUCAUUAUGAAGUGGUUAGAAUGUGUAGUGUAGCGGUGAAAUGCAUAGAUAUUACACAGAAUACCGAUUGCGAAGGCAGAUCACUAAUAAUGUACUGACACUGAUGGACGAAAGCGUGGGUAGCGAACAGGAUUAGAUACCCUGGUAGUCCACGCCGUAAACGAUGGUCACUAGCUGUGUGGAUUUCGAUCUGCGUGGCUAAGCGAAAGUGAUAAGUGACCCACCUGGGGAGUACGUUCGCAAGAAUGAAACUCAAAGGAAUUGACGGGGGCCCGCACAAGCGGU
rnacentral:rRNA from 1 species